UACGUAGGGUGCGAGCGUUGUCCGGAAUUAUUGGGCGUAAAGGGCUCGUAGGCGGUUUGUCGCGUCGGGAGUGAAAUCCAGGUGCUUAACACCUGGCUUGCUUUCGAUACGGGCAGACUAGAGGCAUGCAGGGGAGAACGGAAUUCCUGGUGUAGCGGUGAAAUGCGCAGAUAUCAGGAGGAACACCGGUGGCGAAGGCGGUUCUCUGGGCAUGUCCUGACGCUGAGGAGCGAAAGUGUGGGGAGCAAACAGG
rnacentral:rRNA from 1 species